GGAAAAAAGGAACUGUUUGGCCCUGGGCUGGUCUUAAAACUAGCGUCUACAGAGGUCCUCCUGCCUGGUCGCCAUCCUCCAGCACUCUCCCCAACAGCAGUUCAUUUACUUAGAUUCUGUUUGGUUUACUUUUGAGACAAAGGCUUGUCUUGACUCUUGGCCCUCCUGCCUCUGCCUUCCUAGGGCUGGGGGUGUCAGUGUGUAUUACUGUACUUGGCCAUGUGGUGGUUUGAAUAAGCGCGGCCCCCACAGUUUCACAUAUCUGAAUGAUUAGAUGUCGGGGAGUGGCAUUAUUUGAGAAGGAUUAGGAGGCUCAGGAUUAGCCUUGUUGGAGGAAGUAUGUUGUUGGGGAACGGGGCUUUAAGUUUGCAAAAGCCCAUGCCAGGCCCAGGGUCUUUCUCUUGGUCUGCAGGUCAGGAUGUAGCUCUCAGCUACUGCUGCCAUGCUCCCUGCUAAGCUGAUAGUGAGCUAAACCUCUGAAACCUCAGGCAAGCCCCCAGUUAAAUGCUUUUCUUUCUAAGAGUUGCUUUGCUCAUGGUGUCUCUUCACAGCAACAGAGCAGGGACUAAGACAGGCAACAACUCUCACUUUUUAAAACCUAAAGUCAGCCACUGGCCGACCCUAGCCUGUGGCCUUGCUCGUUUUGUAAAUAAGUCUCAUUAGAGCCACAGCUAUGGGUUACUCUUGCAAGGCUGUUCACCCCACUGGAGUGCCAGGGUAGAAAAAGCAUGCGAGCCUUUGCCAGCUGUAUGUGAGGACACAAGCUCUGGCCUGGAAACAGGAUGAGCUGUCGGCAACCUGGGGUGCCGACUCACCCCGGUCUGCGAUUCCUUUCUUCCCAGGUCAUCAAGCAGUUUCGCGAUGAGGAGCUUGAACACCACGAUACAGGCCUGGACCAUGACGCAGAGCUGGUAGGGGCAACUCUUCCUGUGCUGCUCCCAGGCCAUUUUAAAGGUUGUGGGGGCCAAAGGUUUCUGUUCCCAGAAGGAGACAUUUGAAAGUACAGGUCAGAAGGCAGGGAAACGGGUACUUGACAGAAAGCACCCAAGCACAGCCUUGGUCCAUGGUGAGGCUCCUGUGUCCUGCUCUGUUACUAACACAAGAAACAACCCAGCAGUUCAGUGUCCAUAGAUGCUUCUAGAAUUUCAAAUGGCUUUUGUUUCAAAUUAAAUCAUUUCCCAGAUCCUCUUUUUAUCCAGAGGAGCCCAAACCCUGCCCUACCAGUGAGUCCAGGUCUGACAUCUGAAAAUAGAUGCAUCUCGUGGGGUUUCCUUGCUGUUUGUUUAGGGGCUGGCAUUGAAUCCAGGGCCUUGCUAGGCAAGCGCUCUACCACUUAACAGACCACUUGCCCCUUUGCUUAUUUUCCCAGCUCAGGGUGCCGCCGUGCAUGUUAGACCAUACUCUACCAUCUAGUACAUCGCAGCCUUUUGUUCUCCGCAGGCUCCCGCGUAUGCCUUGUUGAAGAGGAUUAUCCAGGCCGGAUGCAGUGCAGCCAUAUAUUUAUCAGAAAGGUUUUAGAGUAUGUCUAUUGAUCCAUUUCUAGAAAAGAUGGUCGUAACUUAAGGAGUGAUAUUUGUGGAGGAGGAGCUGUACAGUUAUCACUGUGUGUGUUUUGUUAAUACAAGAGGCCGGGUUUGGGGCUUGUGUUUGUCAAUAAACUCUUUGGCGCUGGAUUCCUUGGUUUUCUUGUGCUGUGAGGUUGGCAGUUAACUAACUCUGCUCACCUUACAGUACCUGCAGCUGGUCUUCCCUUGGUCUUAUAGUUAAUUUGGGCCUAAGACAUCAAGAACAAACCAUUCGUCAGUUAACAGGAAUCCUUUUUUAAAGAUUUAUUUUACUUCUAUUUCUAGAGUUUAAAAACAUUAGACUGUAUAAGAUGGGCUAAGCAAGACUGGGAAGUCUCUCGAGGGAGGCGCUGUGCAUUCUGAUGUCAGCAUGACGUGGCAAAGCACUGUGGUAGCUAUGGCUCCUGAAAAUUCUCACCCAGAGCCGAUGGUAGGAGGUGGUAAAUCCCUCACCCCAGAGGAGACACCUGAAGGGAGAGGAGGCUGGGAGGUGGCAGAUAAGGGGCAGAGACCUCAGGAGUGGGGUUAGUGCCCUUAUAGAAACGAGGCCUAGGGAGACCCACAGUCUGUUCCACAUCACUGGACACCAACCUGUUGGCACCCUGAUAUUGGACUUCAUAGCCUCCAGAACUGCAAACAAGUUUUUGUUGUUCAUGAGCUCCUGAGCCUACAGUAUUUUAAUAGCAGUCCUGGCAGACUAAGGCAGGAUGGCAUUAUCCCAAUCAAAAAUAUACUUAAGUUGGGUGUGGUGAUGCAGGCCUGUAAUCCUAGCACCAUGGGAGGCGGAGGCAAGAAGAUCUGCAGGAGUCCAGGGCUAUCCUCAGCACACGUCAAGUUUGAGGACAGCGUACAUGACACCCGGCCCCAGCAAACAACCACAAUAACAUACAGAGCUGUGGGUUAUUUACAAUUGAAUUAUAAUUUCUGCAAGGUUUGCUAUCUCCAAAUAAGCCAGACUGACAAAAAUUUAGUAUUUCUGUGAACUAUUUUAUUAUUUUAAAUUUUCAAAAUAUAUUUAAAGAAAAACAAACAAACAAACAAACAAAGAACCCAGGAUCAAGCAGAGUGUGGUGAUACAUGCCUGUAAUCCCAGCCGUGGGGAGCAGAGGGAGAGAGAUCUUCAUGAGCCAGUUGGUUACGUAGCAAGACCCUGUCAAAUACAAAAGCC
rnacentral:lncRNA from 1 species